rnacentral:tRNA from 1 species
GGAGGGAUACCAAAGUGGCCAAAUGGGCCUGACUGUAAAUCAGGUGGCUAUGCCUUCGAAGGUUCAAAUCCUUCUCCCUCCACCA